rnacentral:rRNA from 1 species
UACGGAGGGAGCUAGCGUUGUUCGGAAUUACUGGGCGUAAAGCGUGCGCAGGCGGUUAGUUAAGUCUGAUGUGAAAGCCCCGGGCUCAACCUGGGAAUGGCAUUGGAAACUGGCUUGCUAGAGUGUGGCAGAGGGGGGUGGAAUUCCGCGUGUAGCAGUGAAAUGCGUAGAGAUGCGGAGGAACACCGAUGGCGAAGGCAGCCCCCUGGGCCGACACUGACGCUCAGGCACGAAAGCGUGGGGAGCAAACAGG